GUUCGCUUCGGCAGCACAUAUACUAAAAUUGGAAUAAUACAGAGAAGAUUAGUAUGGCCCCUGCGCAAGGAUGACACAUGCAAAUUUGUGAAUCGUUCCCUAUUUUU